GCCUGGGUGGCUCAGUCGGUUAAGCGUCUGACUGCGGCUCAGGUCACGAACUCCAGGUUUGUGGGUUCGAGCCCCGCUUCGGGCU